UUGCGUUUUGGCAAUUGUGGAAUUGUUGGUGAUUUUACCUGGUUCUUGUUAGCAUCAACCAGAAUGGCAUUGGUCAAUUUUGACUGUACUUCACUGGUUUUGUUCUUUACACCAACUAUAUAAGGAACCGGUGCAUCCAAAAAGUCCAGCAUAUCAUCUGGUAAAAUCGGCAUCAAUAGGCUUUGCCAUUGAUAGGGACGGAUAAGAGGGAUAAUUGAUAAAAUCAACGCAGAUAAGAUUCCCAAAUUAGAACAAAC
rnacentral:misc_RNA from 1 species